rnacentral:rRNA from 1 species
AAAUUGAAGAGUUUGAUCAUGGCUCAGAUUGAACGCUGGCGGCAGGCCUAACACAUGCAAGUCGAACGGUAACAGGAAUCAGCUUGCUGAUUCGCUGACGAGUGGCGGACGGGUGAGUAAUGUCUGGGAAACUGCCUGAUGGAGGGGGAUAACUACUGGAAACGGUAGCUAAUACCGCAUAACGUCGCAAGACCAAAGAGGGGGACCUUCGGGCCUCUUGCCAUCGGAUGUGCCCAGAUGGGAUUAGCUAGUAGGUGGGGUAACGGCUCACC